UUUGGGGUGAUUCGGUAUGCAGCAGUAAUAGCCACCACCAUCUCCCUGAACAUCAUUCUUUAAACCUGUGUUGAUAACUAGUACACACAGCGCCUGCAGGGCCCCACCCUGUCUCCUGGCCAAAGAGACUCAAGAAAUCCGGGCAGAGAAUGGUGCUCCCUGCUGCCCAGCGGAGAUGACCACUUCACGGAGAGCAGAGAGAGGAAGGAGGAGGAGAGCGAAAAGAAAGGUCCUCUUUCAGGCUGAGGACGCUGUGGAGUGGCCUCCCCUGGCCUGCCAAGAGCUGACUCACCGGCCGGGACACAGCAUUACAGGUGCACUCAGCACAGACAAUGGAUGCUUUUUAUACACAGCCCCACGCCUGACCGAGACUGACCACUGGGGUCAGGUAGAGACGGUGCCCCAGGGAGUAUGGGCCUGGAGGCAUGAGUAGGAGAGGACCUGGCCUGGAAGCUGCCAUUCUCCAGCCUUCCAGAGCUGGGGUCUGAGCAUUCACAGCCAUGGAGACCCUGCAAUUUCAUGGCCAAGGGACUUCUGAGAGUCCAGCUCUAGGAUCUUUAUCUCUCACGCCUGGCACAUCUCAGGGACGCAGACCCACGUGCUGAAAGGACAGACACACAGACAGGGAGCAAGGGAGAGCAGGGCGUGGACAGAAGCUUCUGGAAAAGCUGCCGUUGAGGAAGGGCUCUGGGAGACAGAGGCUGCCGGGAGGAGAGCUGAGCAGCUCCAGCCUGGCGGUGGACCUCAGGGUGAGGUGAAGGUGGGAGACAGAGCCCCACACAGAGGCUGGACAGCUGCGUCCCCUGUUCUGGGUCCCCAGGGUCUGCGGUGGGCACAGGGCAGCCACUGAAGUGAGGAGCCCCUGUCCCCCCCUCACAGAACCCGAGGGCCAUGCCUGGGGCCUGGCGUCCGCUUGUCACCGGGAGAAAAGCCAGUUUGUCCUGCAGACCCUACAGCCAGAGCAGGCA
rnacentral:lncRNA from 1 species